rnacentral:rRNA from 1 species
GACGAACGCUGGCGGCGUGCUUAACACAUGCAGGUCGAACGGAAAGGCCCUGCUUUUGUGGGGUGCUCGAGUGGCGAACGGGUGAGUAACACGUGAGUAACCUGCCCUUGACUUUGGGAUAACUUCAGGAAACUGGGGCUAAUAUCGGAUAGGAGCUCCUGCUGCAUGGUGGGGGUUGGAAAGUUUCGGCGGUUGGGGAUGGACUCGCGGCUUAACAGCUUGUUGGUGGGGUAGUGGCUUACCCAGGCUUAGAAGGGUAGCCGGCCUGAGAGGGGGGACGGGGACAAGAGGACUACGGGAGGGCGCAGUCGCGAACAGUAGGCAACGGGGGGAAGCAUGGCACAGUGAGCGGGAGUGAGAGACAGCGGCGCCGGGGUCGUGAAGACGUCCUUCUGGGGGUGAACCGCUGUCGCCUGAGACGAAGCGUGAGUGACGGUAAUGAAUAAAGAAGCACCGGCUAACUACGUG